rnacentral:rRNA from 1 species
UACAGAGGGGGCAAGCGUUAUUCGGAAUUAUUGGGCGUAAAGGGCGCGUAGGCGGUCCUUCAAGUCUCUCGUGAAAUCCCUCGGCUUAACUGAGGACGUGCGGGAGAUACUGCUGGGCUUGAGUCCGGAAGAGGGUGGUGGAAUUCCAGGUGUAGCGGUGAAAUGCGUAGAUAUCUGGAGGAACACCGGUGGCGAAGGCGGCAUCCUGGACCAAUACUGACACUGAGGAGCGAAAGCCAGGGGAGCAAACGGG